rnacentral:rRNA from 1 species
AUUGAACGCUGGCGGCAUGCUUUACACAUGCAAGUCGAACGGUAACAGGCCUUCGGGUGCUGACGAGUGGCGAACGGGUGAGUAAUGCAUCGGAACGUGCCCAAUCGUGGGGGAUAACGUAGCGAAAGUUACGCUAAUACCACAUAAGCCCUGAGGGGGAAAGCAGGGGAUCGCAAGACCUUGCGCGAAUGGAGCGGCCGAUGUCAGAUUAGCUAGUUGGUGGGGUAAAGGCCUACCAAGGCGACGAUCUGUAGCGGGUCUGAGAGGAUGAUCCGCCACACUGGGACUGAGACACGGCCCAGACUCCUACGGGAGGCAGCAGUGGGGAAUUUUGGACAAUGGGCGCAAGCCUGAUCCAGCCAUGCCGCGUGCGGGACGAAGGCC